GAUUAGCUGAACUGUGACCUGAAUGAAAGUGGCAACGAUCAUCUUAUCAGUCCCUCCUCUUAGCUUUCUUUAUACGGACCCAUCUUAUGUGCUUGGCGUAGGACAGCUUGCAAUAUGGCUGCUGUUUGAAAUGAAAAUCCUUCCUAGACUUGAACGGAUCCCAGUCCUGGGUGUGGCAUCUGGCAUCUUAAGUGGCCACCUGAAGAGCUGGAUGACACAGUCCAGAAGUGUGGUGUGCUAAUUCCCAUGGAACAAACUUUGAUCACUGGGAAACUGAAGAUGGGAGGGAGAAAAUGCUUCAUGUUUCCAGCAUUUGUUUGAGGAUCUAUGUCACAUCUCACAUCAAUUUUUGUUCAUGGAGUGAGGUAGGAGUUGAGGUUUACCUUUUUUCUUCAUAAG